UCAAAUAAUGCUAUUGCUUUUUACAAAUCUGCGUGCGUUGUUUAAAGAUCAUUUUAUUGUUUACGAAACGACUCGGAAUUUUAUAAAACUAAAAAGUCAUUUGAAUCUCAUUUAACUCGUUUCAUCUUCUUCUGUCUUUUUAUUAUCAUUCUCGUUUCAAACGUUUUGUAUAUGUAGAUCUCUAUUAUAUCUUUAGUUCAUAGAAAACAGCAUAUAAACUUAAUAUCAAAGUUCUCAUAUAUUGAGUUGGCAACUAGGUGAUUGCGGAUUUUGUCAUUAAGCGGUAUUGACAAAUCCGCAAUCACUUAGUUGCCAAACCAAUAUCUUCCAUUUACCAAUAAUUCGAUUUAUCAUCCAGCCAAUAUGUUAAUAGAGCCGCUAUAUUUGUAAAAAGCUCACUAUUAGGUCAGAAUUCCGUUUAUAAGAGAGCUAAAUCCUUAACCUUUAUUUCCAACCAGCCAAUGUAUUUCCACCUAAAAGCAAGAGGAAUGGGCACAGGUAUUUCGAUCAGUUCAUUUAUUCCAUCCGCAUUCUAUGGUAAUUAACGGCGAUAUAGGAAUCCAUUGAAGAAAGAAAGGAGCCAAGUAACCGUACAAAGAAUUUGGCCCGUGUUAUUCAAGUGAAAGUUGCACAUUUUAGAAAUACUUCAUACCGCAACGUUUAUUGGGCGAGAAACAAAAGAUAAAACUCUUGAAUUGUGUCCUAUAGAUAUAGCUAUAUUCUAAUCAUGUAACUUGUGUUUUUUUAUCGAAUAGUACUCGAAAUUUCCGGUCCUGAUUUCGAUAUCUGCAAGUCGGUCACCUAUGAUGCAAGAAGAGCAUUACCAAGGGACAAUGAGGGUGACAUGCAUUUAUGUCAUCUGUGUAUGACUCAUAGAACUUAUAGUAUAACCAGACAAACAAUUCCUUGAUAAGUAUUAGUCUAAAUUGUUCCUUUGUCACCUCGUUAUCCUUUAAAAUAGGCUUAUAGAUCUGAAUUAAGAAUAGAAUGGGAUAAAGGAUAUUAUGAAUUAAGAAUAAAAUUAGAUAAAAGAGAUAAGCAUGUAAAUCUUUUGCAACACUUUAUAUUGUUGCAUGUAAGAGAUCGUAUACGUUGAAUUGUACUCGAGAAUGAAACCAAGUAAAAACCAAGUUAAUAUUGUAAUUACAAUUAUAACAUUUAUGAAAGGAAAAAAGGCAAGGCAAAGCUAGGGCAUCUUUCUUGGCAAAGAAAAGUAGCAAGUUGAAGUCUCUUAUUUUGCAGUACUCGAAAAAAAGCUGCAUAUGCGCGUUAAUCUGCUAAUCCCUAAUAAGAGUACUCGAGCAUUGAGGCGAUAAUAAAACUGAAGCCACCAGGCGAUAACGGUCAAUCAUGAUUACAUGGCAUUGCAAAUACGAUUAUCGGAUCGAUCGGACCGAUAGAGAGACGUUCGAAGAAGCGACCGAGGAAGUGUUAAGAAGAAAAAGAGAAUCCUCUAGAAGGCGAGAAAGACAACGACACAGACAAAAGAGGCAGUGAUCAUUGAUAAAUGAUUUAUGCAAGCCACUUGACUCUCAUUAAUAUUUCCCGUCACUCAAUAUAUUGGAUCUAUAUCUUCUAUUAUUUCUCACAGAGAUCAGUAUUCUGAUCAAUGAUAUUGUGAUACUAGCGCCUCUGUUGGCAGAUUCUUUUGUUUCAAACAUAACCUAGAAUUAAGAACAGUAACGUAUGAAUGUUGACGAUACAACAAAGUCUUCGGGUCAUAUAAUAGCAAUAUUCUUAUCUUGGAGAUACCGUUGUAUUAAAUAAGGAUACUACUAUAUGUGCCACAAGUGCAAGGAGUGUUCCAUAACACGUCUACAUGGAGGUCAGCACAAGUGCCUACAUCUGCUGCUUUUUCUCAAAUACAAUGGAUCCAAUAUCAAGUGUAUGCAAAGAAAAAUAUGCUGUUACUUACUAAAGUCUCCAGGACAAGAUUUGCAACACCUGCCUGGAAGGAGAACUGGCUCUUUGCACGUAAGUUCCGGGCAUUCGUUCUUGAUGUUACGGCAGUGAACCCGCGCUACGAUUCGCCGUUUCUUCUGCACCUGAAACCAGAACAUUAUUAUGUAUUUUCACACAUUACAACGUUUAAAAUAUUAUCAUGCUGUAACAGAUGAUUUUCAGUUGAACAAUAGGGAAAAGUUUGAACGAUGUCCGUUACGAAACAGAAAUCGAGUUUCUCCAUCAGCCUGUUCAUACUACUGGACACGUUCGCGGUGACGUUUGAAAGUGUGAUUGUAAUGUUUUCGAACCUGUAAACGUGCUUACAUGUUUAUUACUCCUUUACGCAUCGCUGACGACGACAGUUGCAACGUUUACAUGCACGGCGUGCAUAAAUCUAUCGUCAAGUAAUUGAUGUCUUACUCGAGCUCCACUGUGUUGUUCUUUACGAUGCAUUCAUAGCUCGAUGGUACAUGCACGAUUCAAUUCAUGAACAACGCACAUUCGUCUAGAAGAAACAUUCCUUACUUGUUCAUUUUUGUACAGGAAUAUAUAUAAUAUAUUUAAUAGUAUAUAUAUAAUAGUAUCCAUUGAAAUUUCCUGAUGAUAACGAAGGAACAUGAUCGUAAUUAUAAUUUGUGAUCAAAUAUCGUAAAAGGUUAUGCGAGAUUUCAAUACAUAGGCGUAGACGGAGACAAAACUAAAUGAUCAGAUAAUGGAUCUAGGUAUCAAUGACGUUUAAUCAAACUGGAACUAGUAUUAUCUGCUUAAGUUCUAUUUGUUAUAUAUUCUUGUAGCACACGCGUAGAUUACUUAAUAAGUAAACGAAAUUAGUAUCCACAUUGCUGUACGAGUCAGCCAUAUUGAACGGAACUUUAUUGAUAUUUGUUUCCACUACCUGCUCAAUUAUUUCUCUACCCGACUGUUACUUGUUUGUUUAAGUUCCAUAUAAUGUAACCAGAUAAUAAAAUAAUGAUAUAAAUAAUAAUAUA